GGACUUAAGAAACAUGGGCUCUCACACCUCCUUUAAAACAGGGGCUCUCAUGUCUCUCUCUCUCUCUCUCUUCCCCUGUCCCACCAAGCUCUUUGUCCUCCCUUCAUUCUCUCUCUCUCUCGUCCCCAAAGCUCUCUCUCCGUCUCCCCCAUUUUUGCUCCCCCCCCCGCCCCCCGUACCACCAAGCUCUCAGUUUGGAAACCCAAUGUAGAAAGUGGAAGGAUGAGGGAUAGAUGAGAAUCAACCCUAAUCUUUAACCAAAAUCAGAAUGGAAUGAAAGUUAUCAAAGUUUCCAUGUUUCAUGUUGGAUUAGCUUGAGGCUUGGGGAUUGGAUCAACAAUGAAUAUGGGCUUGAGGCUCGGGGGUUGGAUCAACAAUGAAUAUGGGCUUGAGGUUUUGGUAUGGGUUUGGCAUAUGUUGUUGCCUUUUCAAGAAUUGUUUUUGCAAAUAUAUGACAUAAAUUGCUGGAAAUAAAGAAAUUUGAUGAAAGUCUCAUAGGCUGCAGCUCUGAUCUUGAUGUGCUUGAGGCUUUGGUUGGCUUUGGUAUUGUUAAGGCAUAUGUUGUUGCCUUUGUUAUAUUGCCAAGCCUUGGGUUUUACGCAUGCCACAGUCAUUUGUAACUUUAGCUAGCAAGGAAUUUGAGGCAAUAGUUCAAUGCCCAAAUAUUACUGGUGCCUACUAUAGGGAAAGUUAUAAAUUAUUGAAUGUAAUAUGUAAGGUAACUGAUUGUAUUUUUCCUUGAUAGAAUGAUCACAAUCUUUCUUUCUUUUUUCAA